rnacentral:rRNA from 1 species
CAGUAGCCACGGUAAUACAGAGGGUGCGAGCGUUAAUCGGAUUUACUGGGCGUAAAGCGUGCGUAGGCGGCUUCUUAAGUCGGAUGUGAAAUCCCUGAGCUUAACUUAGGAAUUGCAUUCGAUACUGGGAAGCUAGAGUAUGGGAGAGGAUUGUAGAAUUCCAGGUGUAGCGGUGAAAUGCGUAGAGAUCUGGAGGAAUACCGAUGGCGAAGGCAGCCAUCUGGCCUAAUACUGACGCUGAGGUACGAAAGCAUGGGGAGCAAACAGGAUUAGAUACCCCUGUAGUCCCUGUCUCUUAUAA